CGACUCUGGUUUCUCUUCAUUACGCACAAGCCUUUCGCCUUUUACUAAAGACUUCCGUGGAGAGGAACACUUACGAG
rnacentral:snRNA from 8 species